AUUUACACUGUAAACAAAUGCACAGUAAUCUGUGUCACCGGACCAAGUGUGACACCCUAUAAAACGACAAACCAAGACUUGAUACAUCAACAUCGGGAUUAGCAUCCAAAGUAUUCACAACCCUUUGAAAAUAAAAUAAAUUAACUGCGCAAUGGAUUUCAGUGCAAAGAUUUUCAGUAUACUUGCCCUUAUCUGUCUAUUUUUUGUCAUUCAAAAUCAUUCUCAACCACUAGAUGAAGCAAAAUCCGUUGCGAACGCUUCGGAUGGUGAAAUGAUGGAAGCGGCGGAAUCUCAGAAUCCGUUUCUGCCGCGUUUCGCUAUGAAAAAGUUGAAAGAACGGCGGGAACGAGCUAGAGCUCAGAGAAGGAAUUAUCAAGCUGAAAGGAGAUAUCAACCUUCUCGAAGUCAUGUUAGGUGUUAGCACUAUAAAAAAUGAAGAACCACGUAGUUUUAUUGUUAGUAGUAGCGCUAGUUUUUGAUUUAGUCGUUGCAAAUAUCGCCAUAGAACUACCGGUCGCCGAUAAGGAGUCGCUAUUGUCAGAAAAUAAUGACUCAAGCACGAAUCACGAAGAAACACUUUCAAACAAUAGCCAAACGGAACAAAAGGAAAUCGAAACAAAUGAAAACGGUGAGACAAUUACUCUCAGCCCAAACGAAGAAACGCUGCAAAUUGGUAUUGAAGAACACACUGAGACUCCAAUAGAUCAAUUUGAUUUUCAAGGAGCUAUUGACAAUGAUCAACAAGAAUUUUACAUUAAUGAAUUUAAUAUAAAAGAACCCGCUGACACUAGUCUUGAAGAGGAGUUUGAAUUAGUGAAGGAAAGUGAUUAUUAUUACAACGACCUCAUUCAUAAGGAUCCUAAUGAAAUCAUGCAAACGGCCGCUGGAUUUGUGCCUAUACCUAUAAUUCGUAAAAAGAAGAAGCAGACACGCAGACAGUAUGCUAAUAGAAGAUAUAACAGAAGACCUUACGCCAAUCGAAGGCAUUACUAUUACUAUUAUCCUUACUACAGAUAUUAUCGUCCAAGCUCUCUAAGAUAUUAUUACUAAUAUCAUAAUUUUAUAUAGUGUAUUAAAAAAAAUAAAACAGUUGUCAAAAAUA